rnacentral:rRNA from 1 species
UACGAAGGGGGCUAGCGUUGCUCGGAAUCACUGGGCGUAAAGCGCACGUAGGCGGAUUGCUAAGUCAGGGGUGAAAUCCUGGAGCUCAACUCCAGAACUGCCUUUGAUACUGGCGACCUUGAGUCCGGGAGAGGUGAGUGGAACUGCGAGUGUAGAGGUGAAAUUCGUAGAUAUUCGCAAGAACACCAGUGGCGAAGGCGGACUCACUGGCCCGGUACUGACGCUGAGGUGCGAAAG